UUCCUACGGGGCGCAGCAGUGAGGAAUAUUGGUCAAUGGGCGCAGGCCUGAACCAGCCAAGUCGCGUGAGGGAAGACUGCCCUAUGGGUUGUAAACCUCUUUUAUAAGGGAAGAAUAAAUGCUACGUGUAGCAUGAUGCCUGUACCUUAUGAAUAAGCAUCGGCUAACUCCGUGCCAGCAGCCGCGGUAAUACGGAGGAUGCGAGCGUUAUCCGGAUUUAUUGGGUUUAAAGGGUGCGUAGGCGGUUUUUUAAGUUAGUGGUUAAACGUCGGGGCUUCCCCUUGAUUUGCCAUUAA
rnacentral:rRNA from 1 species